ACGUUUCUCUUAAGUUCAGUAUAACCAACAUACUUGCAAGAAGUUCAGCACUGUAAGGAUUGAAUAUAGUUGCUGGUGUUGGUGAAAUACACGAAUGAAGAAGCUAGGGGUUCUACCAUGUGUACUUUUGCCACCAAUAAAGGUCAUUGCAGAAUCUGCUAUCAAAUUUGCUUACGUGCUCACCAUUAUUUGCUCCAAGGCAUUUGGCUAUUAACAGAGCUGGACAAUUCAAUUCUCAAGGAUGAUUACUUUAUGUUAUGCCAGCAAACCAGAAAAUUUCUAUAGAGAAAACAGAGAUGAGCAUAUUGAUUAUGAGGAAUAUGUAACAACGAUGAGAAGGGGAAUAUAGGAUUGAUAACUAGAGCAAUAAUUAAAAGAGAACCUAAUUAAAUUAGGGAUGACCAAGUCUACACUGCUGUUUAAAUGGUUGGGUUCAAUAUAAGGUUUUGAUGAGCCUACCACUUGUGUCAUAGCCAGUAGAAAUAGACUUUGUGCAACAACAGUUGAUGCCUGCAAAGAGAAAUCUUGAAGCAAAAAUUCCUUGUUGUCAAUAGUUAGCCAAUAAAUAAAUUUAAAGGCAAACUCUGUAAAUAGCUAACGGGAGUUGUGCUUAAACUUAUGAAAGUGGCUACUCCCUUGCUAGA